rnacentral:rRNA from 1 species
UAGGGAAUCUUCGGCAAUGGACGGAAGUCUGACCGAGCAACGCCGCGUGAGUGAAGAAGGUUUUCGGAUCGUAAAGCUCUGUUGUUAGAGAAGAACGUUGGUAGGAGUGGAAAAUCUACCAAGUGACGGUAACUAACCAGAAAGGGACGGCUAACUACGUGCCAGCAGCCGCGGUAAUACGUAGGUCCCGAGCGUUGUCCGGAUUUAUUGGGCGUAAAGCGAGCGCAGGCGGUUCUUUAAGUCUGAAGUUAAAGGCAGUGGCUUAACCAUUGUACGCUUUGGAAACUGGAGGACUUGAGUGCAGAAGGGGAGGGUGGAAUUCCAUGUGUGGCGGUGAAAUGCGUAGAUAUAUGGAGGAACACCGGUGGCGAAAGCGGCUCUCUGGUCUGUAACUGACGCUGAGGCUCGAAAGCGUGGGGAGCAAACAGG